CACAAGACACAAAUGGGUUGCAGAAAAUUGAAACUGAAGGUCGAGGGUGGACAUAAUGACGUUGAUGUUCCUACUACUUCUAGUUCUAAACACAUUGUCCAAAGACUCGUAGGAUGGGACAAAACGGGACACCAAUGAAAAAGAGGACAUAAAAACUAUGAACCCAUAGAGAGACAUUUUUACCAGACAACAACAUUUUAGAGACCUUUAACCUCAUAAAAACCAGCUUCCCCUAGUAGCAAUGAUAACCUUACCUUAAAGAACCUCUUCUCAAUCAGUGGCGUGGCUUGUUGCCGGUAGUCCUCUCCUCAUAACGGUCCACCAAGGUUUUCAGCAAGACGUGUCAGCUGAAGUGAACUGUCCUCUUCGCCGGUAUAGCUACGAUGAAACCUCAGGGUUCUACUAUGACUCAAACACUGGCCUCUACUACGAUCCAAAGACUCAGUAUCACUACAACAGUCAGACUGGUCAGUAUUGCUACUAUAUGACCCAGCACAGCUCAAGUACGUACCAGUGGACAGUGAGGGGCGGUUUUAAGAUGGAUGGCAACUCACUAGCGUCUGCCAGCUCCGGGUGGAGGUACACUAUACACAUGAGGGAGUUAAGUCUGCCAAGCCCCUACAGUGAUAGUGCACUUUUGUUGACAGACCAGAACAGGCUUAGAAAUAGCAGUUAUGCACUAAGCAGCAACAUUUCAGAAUGGAAAAAUACUUCCCACACUGUACACAGCAGAUCCCGGGAGUUAACAGUGACGGUGUGCUUAAUCACCCCCUCCCACACACACACAUGCACUCACCUUCCGCAGAUUGCCAAGAACAUGGAGCGAUGGGCAAAGUCUGUCCAAGUCAGCACAAAAGCAGCAGGUGAAUAUGCUGACUCAGCAAAGCAAGCCCCUGGCCAAACCCUCUACUAGCAAGAGCAUCCCCAGUGUCGGCAUUGCCGUCGGCAACACAGUUCCACAGGUUGAAAAGUCCGUGCCUCGUAACGAUAUCUCAGUGACCUCACUCCCUAGAAACACCCUCCCUAGGCACACUCUCCCCUCUGGAGCAGAUACCAACCCCACCCACACCGACUGGGACUGUCUUCUUUGUAAGAGAAAGUUUCCCUCGAAAGAUGUGCUUGUAAAACAUCAACAGUUCUCAGAUCUGCACAAGGUGUGCACAUGUGUGUUGUGUAUUUAUGGGAUGCCUUACACCACCACACUUGUACUUUAUCUGGUGUUGUUACAAAUGUGGUGUUGCAAACUCUCCCUUGAUAUUUUAAGUAGAUUGUACUAACUGAUGUGUGGUUCCUUAGCAAACCUGCUGAAAUGGAAGAGCCCACAGCAGACAACUGCCUCCACCUCAGACCAGGUAAACAUCUAAGUUGAUCAGUUCCGUUUUAGCAUAGAUAAUCUGCUAUCUAUGGUUUUAAUGUUGUUGGAAUGAGGUCUGCGUUAAUGAAUGUGGCUUGUUUACAGCAAGACCCCAUAUGCUUUUUCAUUGUGGGUGCAAUGUUAUUAAAUAGAUCUGGCCUGUUGUUAAUUUAUCCUGGUAGAGUUGAGGGUGCACUAUUACUGCCAUGCAUGCACACAAUGUACUUUGUAUAUUCAAGAGACUUUUGUGACUGCUGUGCUACAUGUAUACAGUUGUUGGACAGUCUAUGUAAACUCUUAUCACAGUAAGUCAUGAAAUUUCAAUGAUGUGGUAUUUUGGAGCAAUUCAAUUAGUACAGUAAUGUCGCCCUCCAUGCAUGCAUACAAACGCAGUCACUUUUAUCGAGUGUCGUACAUGUAAUGAAUGUACAGUUGUACUUUUAGAUAUGUAUAUACUUUAAUAGUGCCAAUUUUGGUUUCAUUUUAGCCAGUCCCCGCUAGUAAUACUGCCACCAUCCCCCCCCCCUCACACACACACACUAAUGUCUUUCUAUAGACCAGGUACCGAAACCGUGCCCAGGAGAGGCGCGUGUUGGUUGGGUCUUCGGCCAUCGUGCCAGAGUGGAAGAAGAAGAUUGACCAGGAGAUGGUGCAACCCCCCAUACCGUGAGUAGGGGUAGAUUUCUUGCUCCUGUGUAUCCAUUGUAUAUACUGUAUUCAUAAACAACUAACUGCAUCUUUUGUGUAACAUCUUAACAAUCAUCGUUGGCCAUGGGGUGGAGUGAUGGGCAGGGCUUGGGCAGGUCCAACCAGGGAAUUGUCGAGCCCAUCAAGGCUGAGAUCCGACAAGGGGUGCUGCUGGACUUGGUUCCAAAGGCGGCGCUUAUGGAUAAGGGGUGGGAGAUGAUUUCUAGAGCAAUGUAAUGGCUAUGACUCAGACUAGAUACAAGGAGACUCUGUGAUUGUGCAUGAUUGUAUGUACAUUGUAUUGUUGUGAAGAAAAAACGCUGUUGUUUCAAAAGCUGUUCAAUAAUAAUUAU